GCCUUCGUAGUGUAGCGGUCAGUACGCUCGGCGUGUAUUCGAGAGGUCCGUGGUUCGAGUCCCGGCGAGGACC
rnacentral:tRNA from 1 species